AUUGAACGCUGGCGGCAUGCCUUACACAUGCAAGUCGAACGGCAGCACGGGAGCAAUCCUGGUGGCGAGUGGCGAACGGGUGAGUAAAGUAUCGGAACGUACCUUUCAGUGGGGGAUAACGUAGCGAAAGUUACGCUAAUACCGCAUAUUCUGUGAGCAGGAAAGCAGGGGAUCGCAAGACCUUGCGCUGAUUGAGCGGCCGAUAUCAGAUUAGCUAGUUGGUGAGGUAAAGGCUCACCAAGGCGACGAUCUGUAGCGGGUCUGAGAGGAUGAUCCGCCACACUGGAACUGAGACACGGUCCAGACUCCUACGGGAGGCAGCAGUGGGGAAUUUUGGACAAUGGGCGCAAGCCUGAUCCAGCCAUGCCGCGUGAGUGAAGAAGGCCUUCGGGUUGUAAAGCUCUUUCGGCCGGGAAGAAAUCGCAUGGGUUAAUACCCUGUGCGGAUGACGGUACCGGCAUAAGAAGCACCGGCUAACUACGUGCCAGCCGCCGCAGUAACAC
rnacentral:rRNA from 1 species